AACGAACGCUGGCGGCAGGCUUAACACAUGCAAGUCGAACGGAUGUAGCAAUACAUCAGUGGCGCACGGGUGAGUAACACGUGGAUAUCUGCCUUUUGGUUCGGAAUAACCCUGGGAAACUAGGGCUAAUACCGGAUGGUUCCUACGGGAUAAAGAUUUAUCGCCAAAAGAUGAGUCCGCGUCCGAUUAGCUAGUUGGUGAGGUAAUGGCUCACCAAGGCGACGAUCGGUAGCUGGUCUGAGAGGACGAUCAGCCACACUGGGACUGAGACACGGCCCAGACUCCUACGGGAGGCAGCAGUGGGGAAUAUUGGACAAUGGGCGCAAGCCUGAUCCAGCCAUGCCGCGUGAGUGAUGAAGGCCCUAGGGUUGUAAAGCUCUUUCACCGGUGAAGAUAAUGACGGUAACCGGAGAAGAAGCCCCGGCUAACUUCGUGCCAGCCGCCGCGGUAACAC
rnacentral:rRNA from 1 species